rnacentral:rRNA from 1 species
AGAGUUUGAUCCUGGCUCAGGAUGAACGCUGGCGGCGUGCUUAACACAUGCAAGUCGAACGGAAAUCAAAUGAUCGAGACUUCGGUUGAAGUUGUUGGAUUUUAGUGGCGGACGGGUGAGUAACGCGUGGGUAACCUGCCCUGUACAGGGGGAUAACACUUAGAAAUAGGUGCUAAAACCGCAUAAGCGCACGGUCUCGCAUGAGACAGUGUGAAAAACUCCGGUGGUACAGGAUGGACCCGCGUUGGAUUAGCUGGUUGGUGAGGUAACGGCCCACCAAGGCGACGAUCCAUAGCCGGCCUGAGAGGGUGAACGGCCACAUUGGGACUGAGACACGGCCCAAACUCCUACGGGAGGCAGCAGUGGGGAAUAUUGCACAAUGGGGGAAACCCUGAUGCAGCGACGCCGCGUGAAGGAAGAAGUAUCUCGGUAUGUAAACUUCUAUCCGCAGGGAAGAAAGUGACGGUACCUGACUAAGAAGCCCCGGCUAACUACGUGCCAGCAGCCGCGGUAAUACGUAGGGGGCAAGCGUUAUCCGGAUUUACUGGGUGUAAAGGGAGCGUAGACGGAGAGGCAAGUCUGAUGUGAAAGGCUGGGGCUCAACCCCGGGACUGCAUUGGAAACUGUUUUUCUUGAGUGCCGGAGGGGUAAGCGGAAUUCCUAGUGUAGCGGUGAAAUGCGUAGAUAUUAGGAGGAACACCAGUGGCGAAGGCGGCUUACUGGACGGCAACUGACGUUGAGGCUCGAAAGCGUGGGGAGCAAACAGGAUUAGAUACCCUGGUAGUCCACGCGGUAAACGA